ACUGGAAUUUUGUAAAUCCUGCGGGGCACUGCAUCGUGGUCUGCUGCAGGCGCGAGAAAAAACGCAUACUAUUAAAUUUCGAUCUGACGGAGAAAGAGAAAAUUAAUUCUCAGAUAAGGUUAAUAUUUGUACGGACGUAAACAAAUAAUAUUAUAAAACACCUGCUGAGAAGAUUUUUUACUUUUUUUUUUUUUUUUUUGUAAUACAAUAAUAUGACCGUCGUGCUCGGAAUAUCGGGUUACGACCGCGAUUUACGCGUGUUUGACGCGAC